UGUUAAUUGUAUCAUAAUCUAUCUGAUUGUUUUUUAGCCGACUCAAAAUCAUGCUGUUAAUUAGGGCCCCCUGUUGUACAUGAACUUAGGAAUCGGACACCUCGAGAAGAUGAAAGGUCUACUUUACAUCUUUUUCAACGAAAGUACAAUUACUUUGAGAAGUAGGAGAAGCUAAGCAACAGGACAGAAUUCAUUUGAGGCAUUGCUUUCUAGAUUAUAUAGUGGAGUCAUAGAUCGUCCUAUUGAUUUACGUGCAUAUGAGGAGCAGUAGUCAAUGAAUAAUUUUGUGAUGAGAGCAGUACAUUGUAUUACAACAAAUGGACAGAGGAGUUGACUAUUGAUAGUGACUGAUAAUGGACUGGAGUAACCUAGGGUCCAAUGACUCCAUGCCUGACAGUCCAUGUGUACAUAAUUAGCUCCUCAGAUGUAAGUGGAAGGGAAGCUAUAUACAUUAUAUGUUUAAAUGAAAUUAACAACAGGAUUAGAUAUUGAGGAGAUCCUAUAGCUACAGUAUAUAUGAAUGUAACUG